rnacentral:snoRNA from 1 species
GCUGAAUGAUGAUAUCCCACUCACUGAGUUGCUUCUGAUGCAAUUGUUUCAAGACGGGACUGAUGGCAGA